AGUUGUAAUUUGCAGAGGAUGUGAUGGAAUUUGUUUGAAAUCAAGUCCUUUGGAAAAAGGCGCCAUGGAGAGUGAAAGUCUCGUCCGUUUCGCAACAUUUUCCGUAUAUCACUCCUUCAAAGAGUCGAGUUGUUUGGGAAUGCAGCUCAAAAUGGGACGUAAAUUUGUUCCAAAGCUAAAUACCGGCUAGAGACCGAUAGCGCACAAGUAGAGUGAUCGAAAGAUGAAAAGCACUUUGAAAAGAGAGUUAAACAGCACGUGAAAUUGUUGAAAGGGAAGCUUAUGUCAUCAGAAAUGACGUUCAUGUUCAGCCUUUUGGUCAAUUCAUGAACGAUCAAGUUAGCAUCAAUUGGGAUAACGGGACAAAAGUGUUGGAAAUGUAGUUUUCUCCGGAAAAUCUUAUAGUCCGAUACAGAAUGCCGCUA
rnacentral:rRNA from 1 species